UACGUAGGUGGCAAGCGUUGUCCGGAAUUACUGGGUGUAAAGGGAGCGUAGGCGGGAAUGCAAGUUGAAUGUGAAAAUUACGGGCUCAACCCGUGAACUGCGUUCAAAACUGUGUUUCUUGAGUUAAGUAGAGGCAGGCGGAAUUCCCUGUGUAGCGGUGAAAUGCGCAGAUAUAGGGAGGAACACCAGUGGCGAAGGCGGCCUGCUGGGCUUGUACUGACGCUGAGGCUCGAAAGCGUGGGUAGCAAACAGGAUUAGAUACCCUGGUAGUCCACGCUGUAAACGAUGAUUACUAGGUGUGGGGGGACAGACCCCCUCCGUGCCGGAGUUAACACAAUAAGUAAUCCACCUGGGGAGUACGACCGCAAGGUUGAA
rnacentral:rRNA from 1 species